UGGGGAAUAUUGGACAAUGGAGGGAACUCUGAUCCAGCAAUUCUGUGUGUGUGAAGAAGGUUUUAGGACUGUAAAACACUUUUAGUAGGGAAGAAAAAAAUGACGGUACCUACAGAAGAAGCAACGGCUAAAUACGUGCCAGCAGCCGCGGUAAUACGUAUGUUGCGAGCGUUAUCCGGAAUUAUUGGGCUUAAAGGGCAUCUAGGCGGUAAGACAAGUUGAAGGUGAAAACCUGUGGCUCAACCAUAGGCUUGCCUACAAAACUGUUGAACUAGAGUACUGGAGGUGGGUGGAACUACACGAGUAGAGGUGAAAUUCGUAGAUAUGUGUAGGAAUGCCGAUGAUGAAGAUAACUCACUGGACAGAAACUGACGCUGAAGUGCGAAAGCUAGGGGAGCAAACAGG
rnacentral:rRNA from 1 species